rnacentral:tRNA from 2 species
GGCACCAUGGCCUAAUGGUAAGGCGUUGCUUUCCGGUUAAAUUCGAUGGCAAAGAUUGUGGGUUCGAGUCCCACUGGUGUCG